UCCAGUUGUCCCUUUUCCUUUCUCAAGUACUGGAGGAAAUGUCUGUGCAGACGAUGACAUAUGCUAGGGGAAGCAAUGUCUCUGUGCCAGCUCCUGAUGCAGGAAAGGAGGAGAUGCCAGGCCCAGACACAGGAGAAGCACUUGGCAAGUCAAAUAUAAAUGCUGAGAAUCCACCGAGCACCCCAAGAGUGUUCUGCCCGCAGGAUGUGCGCAAGUCCUG